UUUUUUCUGCAGUGGAUAUUAUUGUC
rnacentral:piRNA from 2 species